AGAUUGAACGCUGGCGGCAGGCUUAACACAUGCAAGUCGAGCGGGGAAAGGUAGCUUGCUACCUGACCUAGCGGCGGACGGGUGAGUAAUGCUUAGGAAUCUGCCUAUUAGUGGGGGACAACAUCUCGAAAGGGAUGCUAAUACCGCAUACGUCCUACGGGAGAAAGCAGGGGACCUUCGGGCCUUGCGCUAAUAGAUGAGCCUAAGUCGGAUUAGCUAGUUGGUGGGGUAAAGGCCUACCAAGGCGACGAUCUGUAGCGGGUCUGAGAGGAUGAUCCGCCACACUGGGACUGAGACACGGCCCAGACUCCUACGGGAGGCAGCAGUGGGGAAUAUUGGACAAUGGGGGGAACCCUGAUCCAGCCAUGCCGCGUGUGUGAAGAAGGCCUUUUGGUUGUAAAGCACUUUAAGCGAGGAGGAGGCUACCGAGAUUAAUACUCUUGGAUAGUGGACGUUACUCGCAGAAUAAGCACCGGCUAACUCUGUGCCAGCAGCCGCGGUAAUACAGAGGGUGCAAGCGUUAAUCGGAUUUACUGGGCGUAAAGCGCGCGUAGGUGGCCAAUUAAGUCAAAUGUGAAAUCCCCGAGCUUAACUUGGGAAUUGCAUUCGAUACUGGUUGGCUAGAGUAUGGGAGAGGAUGGUAGAAUUCCAGGUGUAGCGGUGAAAUGCGUAGAGAUCUGGAGGAAUACCGAUGGCGAAGGCAGCCAUCUGGCCUAAUACUGACACUGAGGUGCGAAAGCAUGGGGAGCAAACAGGAUUAGAUACCCUGGUAGUCCAUGCCGUAAACGAUGUCUACUAGC
rnacentral:rRNA from 1 species